UUUCUGAAUGGUUCCUAUUGGGGAAUAUAGAGGCUAGAUAUGCUUUACACUCUUCAGAAAUAUAAUCUUUACCAUUAUAUUAUAUUUAGAUAUUCAGUAUAGUAUUAGAUUAUAUAUAUUUAGCUCAAUAUAUUCCAAUCAUGAUGUUUCCUGAGAUAGCAUGGAUUUAUAUAUAAUAAAUCUUAUCUAAACUAAGAUAAGUUCUUGCAUGCUCCUAGACUACAAAAGAGAAAAAACAAUUUUAAGAGGCCAAAGCAUCUUCAUUAAUUCUUUUUAAUUUGGCUUACUAGCUGUCUGUAAAACUUGGUUAUGGUCUGAGAAACACAACUCUAAAUGUCUGCCACUUGAAACUGAGAACCAAAUUUUCCUUUUUAAUACAUUGGAUAUUGCAUAUAUGUUUAUUUUUGGGAACCACCUUUUUUAUGGAGUGUACUUGCAAAAAAUUAGACAUAGAUAUCGUAUCGUCAUCAAUUUUUUGGGUUUCCAUUUCAAUCCCAUGGGUAAGCUUAGUUAUUUAGUAAUAAUAUGAUUUGGAACGAUAUUAAUGCUAUGCGAUUAAAUUUGAGUACCAGCAUUUAAAUCAUAGUUUGAUAAUUAUUAACCUUGCCUAAGUUUCAUCAUUGCUCAUGAUGGCUGAGUAGGACCAAUUGUUCUCUGUCUAGAAUUGUAUCAUGUGCUUCACCCAACUAUGAUAUUAUGCUCUAAAUUUCAGCUACCAUUGCUGCACAUGAGCAGAGAUUGUGGAGCCCGCACUACCACUCUAUGAUGGCAUGUUUUAGGCUAAAAAGCUUGGAUUGUCAAAGGAGUAGCUGCUGGAAAUUCUACCAUGUGUGGAUGGUGCCUUAUUAAAUUAAGAAUACUAUUAGAGAUCCAGAGGACUCCACAAAACUUAUCCCUGUUUCAACCCAGAAUAUACAUCAAGUUUCAGGGACCUAGAUAAACACGGAGUUUUAGGCUUUUAUCUUUCUGAAAGCUAAAUGACUUCACAUCGUUCAGUAAGGAAAAAAGUCGAGAGACCUCAAUCCGGAAGCUGAAGCUGUAGACGUGGUAUGGUGAACUGCUAAGGAAGCAUCUGCAGUAAUUGCAAGCAAAUCCUGAUUCAGAUUAAGUUUUGCAAGCAAAUUACCUGAAUCAUGAUUGCUUGAAUCUUGAUACAUUUGAUGAGUAGAAAUAACGAAAAGUGUUGUUCAGUGCCAAAUCUCUUAUUAGUGCUAUUGAUAUUGCACUCCUGAUUCGAUUACAAUCACCAGAUGCUACAUGAGUGCUUCAGUUCGAGCUCAAUCUGCAUACAUGAUUUGUUUCCAAGAAGUCCUUAUGGUCAUUGUGCCUGUCUAACCAAAGACGAGUCAAGGUUUUUUUUGAACCGGGUUUCUUGGCAGGUUUCAUACAGUUUAUUGGCUAGAGUAAUCUCCUGUGACCCAUUCGGUUACCAACUCUCUCAAACGUGUGGUGGUCAUCGUGUCAUCUGUUCUCUUCUUCAGAACUCCACUUUUACCUUGCCUUA